rnacentral:rRNA from 1 species
GUAGGUGGCAAGCGUUGUCCGGAAUUAUUGGGCGUAAAGCGCGCGCAGGCGGUUCUUUAAGUCUGAUGUGAAAGCCCACGGCUCAACCGUGGAGGGUCAUUGGAAACUGGAGAACUUGAGUACAGAAGAGGAAAGCGGAAUUCCACGUGUAGCGGUGAAACGCGUAGAGAUGUGGAGGAACACCAGUGGCGAAGGCGGCUUUCUGGUCUGUAACUGACGCUGAGGCGCGAAAGCGUGGGGAGCAAACAGGGAUUAGAUACCCUGGUAGUCCACGCCGUAAACGAUGAGUGCUAAGUGUUAGGGGGUUUCCGCCCCCUUGGUGCUGCAGCUAACGCAUUAAGCACUCCGCCUGGGGAUACGGCCGCAAGGCUG